CCAACUUUGAUACUCACUCAAUCUCCUCCACCUUCUACCUUCCUCUUCCCCAUCCUUCCUUAUCAUCCAAUCCCUUUCUCUUCAUUAUUAUAUAUAUACAGAGGUAUGUAAUUUCAAAAUUAAAUUCAUUUCUAUCAUUUAAAGUUGCAUGUUUCUUUUUGAUUAAUCAAACCUUUUUGUCUGAAUCCAAAUGAAAAGCAAAAGCACGCCAAUCUUAUUCCUCUAUUUUUGGUUUUAGAUAUAAACAUUCCAAUUAACCAAAAGUUUGAAAUAGCUUAACUGUUGUUAUAAUUGUGCUGGAUUAGUCUUGUUGAGGCAAUUUCUCAAGUAAUUCCACCGUUUCAAUUUGUAUGAACCUAUUUUCUUUUUAGUAAGUUUCAAAAAAAUAAACUUUUUUCUAAUAAAGAAACUCUUUAUUUUAAAUUUUCAAUAUUAAAGCUUUUACCGUCACACAAAUCGUAUGCUACGUUUUACACCACAAGUUUCAAAAGAUUUUAUAGUCACACAAAUAUUAUGGGGUAUUUACAACCAUAAAUUUUAAAAAUCUUUUUUUUUCUUAAACUUUGUAUCCACUCAAAUAUAUAUGUUCAUAUAAUUUAAAAUGGAGGAAGUUGCAAUUAGCUAAAAAGAAGCCAUCUAUAUAUUGUCUCGCUUCUGUACGUUUAAAGUUAUUUUACCUUUUUUCCCCUCAUUUUAUCUCAUGUAUUCCAAGCCUCUCUCUUGAAUUCUAAGAUACUAAAGCAUGUGCUUAUCACUCGAUGUACUCUCAAGUCUCACCCUUAUGUUUACCUUAAACUUUUCAAAGUACUCAAGGAUAUAAAUCUAAAAUAUGUUGUACGCUUGGUAAAUUAUUUGUGAGAACAUUUUCAGUGUUGAUCAGGUAUAAGGUAGGUAACUAAUAUAAUAGUAGAAUUUGGGUGAGUGAGUAUGGAAGAGGUCUUUCGGUGAUAAUUUGAAUGUUAAGUUUGACAAAAUGUUAACAUAUGUUUGGUUUAAACAAGUGGAAUGAAUUAAGAUAUGUAGGGACUAAUGUGUUUGAUUUAACUACAUAAACUUUUAUUUCUAAUUUAAUCUUAGCUUUUUUAAAGGCUUUUACAGGAAAAUUUCUUAAUGAACAACAUUCUAUGUGAUGGAUGCUAAAAACACCCGAUUUGUAUUUAAGAAGAAACACAUUUUGAGAGAGUUGCUUCAGUCAAAGUGAACCAGUGUUCUUGCAGCCAAACAAAAGACACUGCGAUGGAAGAAGUUAAAGCUGAAGAAUUCUACAUAAGGAAUCAGAAUUCAACAAAAAUAAUUGGGUUUUACUGUAAAGGGACAUGAAUUUUCAAAUAUUCUCUGCCAGACGCUACAUUGAAAUAUUCAUCGUAGCUGGAUAUUAAUGUAUUUUUGGUCAUUUUUUAUUCUUAUAUCACGUUAGUGGCAUUUUCCUGUAUUCUAUAUCUCAUUAUUUAGCCAGUAAUUUUCCUGCUUGGUGAUAAGAAUGCGUGGAAAAAAAGGGUCACAAAUGAAAGUGUACUGAAGCUUCAUAUAUAUCCACAUAAAAAAAAAAUUACAACAAA
rnacentral:lncRNA from 1 species